AUGUUUUCCAAACUAGCACAUUUGCGGAGGUUUGCUAUACUUAGUCGUGGCUUUCAUUCUUCAGUGGCUUCUAUGUCUGUUGCCACUGAAAAAACAGUCCAAGGCCCCGCAACCUCUGCUUACAUUUUUGAAAGGGAAUCUUAAGUAUGGUGCGCACAAUUACCAUCCUUUACCUGUAGCCCUGAAGAGAGGAAAAUGUAUUUACUUAUGGGAUUUCUGUUCAUUGUUGAUGAAAUACAGAUAGGAUUGGCCAGAACUGGUAGAUGGCUGGCUGUUGAUCAUGAAAAUGUCAGUCCUGAUAUAGUCCUCCUUGGAAAGGCCCUUUCUGGAGGUUGAUACUCUGUGUCUGCAGUGCUGUGGGACGAUGGCAUAAUGCUGACCAUUAAGCCAGGGGAACAUGGGUCCACAUACGGUGGCAAUCCACUAGGCUGCUGAGUGACCAUCGCAGCCCUUGAGGUUUUAGAACAAGAAAAUCUUGCUGAAAAUGCAGAAAAAAAAAUGGGUAUUAUCGUGAGAAGUGAACCCAUGAAGCUACCUUUUGAUGUUGUAACUGCCAUAAGAGGAACAGAAUUAUUAAAUGCUAUUGUUAUUAAAGAAACCAUAGACUGUAAUGCUUGGGAGGUGUGUCUAUGACUUUGAGAUUAUGGACUUCUGGCCAAGCCCACCCAUGGUGACAUCAUCAGGUUUCACCUCUGCUGGUGAUCAAGGAGGAUGAGAUUCGAGAGUCCAGUGAAAUCAUUAACAAGACCAUCUUGUCGU
rnacentral:lncRNA from 1 species